rnacentral:rRNA from 1 species
GACGAACGCUGACGGCGUGCUUAACACAUGCAAGUCGAACGGAAAGGCCCUGCUUUUGUGGGGUGCUCGAGUGGCGAACGGGUGAGUAACACGUGAGUAACCUGCCCUUGACUUUGGGAUAACUUCAGGAAACUGGGGCUAAUACCGGAUAGGAGCUCCUGCUGCAUGGUGGGGGUUGGAAAGUUUCGGCGGUUGGGGAUGGACUCGCGGCUUAUCAGCUUGUUGGUGGGGUAGUGGCUUACCAAGGCUUUGACGGGUAGCCGGCCUGAGAGGGUGACCGGCCACAUUGGGACUGAGAUACGGCCCAGACUCCUACGGGAGGCAGCAGUGGGGAAUAUUGCACAAUGGGCGGAAGCCUGAUGCAGCAACGCCGCGUGCGGGAUGACGGCCUUCGGGUUGUAACCCGCUUUCGCCUGUGACGAAGCGUGAGUGACGGUAAUGGGUAAAGAAGCACCGGCUAACUACGUG